rnacentral:rRNA from 1 species
GUAGGGUGCAAGCGCUAUCCGGAAUUAUUGGGCGUAAAGGGCUCGUAGGCGGUUCGUCGCGUCCGGUGUGAAAGUCCAUCGCUUAACGGUGGAUCCGCGCCGGGUACGGGCGGGCUUGAGUGCGGUAGGGGAGACUGGAAUUCCCGGUGUAACGGUGGAAUGUGUAGAUAUCGGGAAGAACACCAAUGGCGAAGGCAAGUCUCUGGGCCGUUACUGACGCUGAGGAGCGAAAGCGUGGGGAGCGAACAGGAUUAGAUACCCUGGUAGUCCACGCCGUAAACGGUGGAUGCUGGGUGUGGGGCCCGUUCCACGGGUUCCGUGUCGGAGCUAACGCGUUAAGCAUCCCGCCUGGGGAGUACGGCCGCAAGGCUUA